ACCAGCAUGGCAUAGUGGUUUAAGCAUCAGACUAGGAUCUGGAGACCAGGGUUUGAAUCCCAGUUCGGCCU